rnacentral:rRNA from 1 species
GCGAGUGAAGCGGCAACAGCUCAAAUUUGAAAUCUGGCCUCUUCGGGGUCCGAGUUGUAAUUUGUAGAGGGUGUUUCGGGCGCGAUGCCGGUCUAAGUUCCUUGGAACAGGACGUCGCAGAGGGUGAGAAUCCCGUACGCGACCGGCGAUCAAGCCCAUGUGAAGCCCCUUCGACGAGUCGAGUUGUUUGGGAAUGCAGCUCAAAAUGGGUGGUAAAUUUCAUCUAAAGCUAAAUAUUGGCCAGAGACCGAUAGCGGACAAGUAGAGUGAUCGAAAGAUGAAAAGCACUUUGGAAAGAGAGUCAAACAGCACGUGAAAUUGUUGAAAGGGAAGCGCUUGCAAUCAGACCGGUCCGGAGGCGAUCAGCCGUCUGCUCGUUCAGCGGUGCACUCGCCUGCGAUCCGGCCAGCAUCGGUUUGGGCGGUGGGAUAAAAGUCCCGGGAAUGUAGCUUCUCUCGGGGAGUCUUAUAGCCCGGGUCGCAAUGCCGCCCGCCUGGACCGAGGACCGCGCUUCGGCUAGGAUG